rnacentral:rRNA from 1 species
AUUGAACGCUGGCGGCAGGCCUAACACAUGCAAGUCGAGCGAGCGACGGACGGGUGAGUAAUGUAUGUGGACUGCCCGAGAGAGGGGGAUAACUACAGGGAACGGUAGCUAAUACCGCGUCCUAACGGCUAAGCCAUAUGGGAUUAGCUAGUAGGUGAGGGAAUGGCUCACCUAGGCGACGAUCCCUAGCUGGUCUGAGAGGAUGAUCAGCCACACUGGGACUGAGACACGGCCCAGACUCCUACGGAGGCAGCAGUGGGGAAUAUUGCACAAUGGGCGCAAGCCUGAUGCAGCCAUGCCGCGUGUAUGAAGAAGGCCCUAGGGUUGUAAAGUACUUUCAGUCGGGAGGCGUUACCGACAGAAGAAGCACCGGCUAACUCCGUGCCAGCAGCCGCGGUAAUAC